rnacentral:ncRNA from 1 species
UACCCAACCGCAAGGAGGGGGCUGCCGAAGGUGAAAUCGAUGACUGGGGUGAAGUCGUAACAAGGUAGCCGUAUCGGAAGGUGCGGCUGGAUCACCUCCUUU